rnacentral:lncRNA from 10 species
AGGGCUCUGGUGGCGGCGGUGGCGGACACUUGGGGUCUGGACGCAACGGCGGCGGGAGCAUGAACGCCCCUCCAGCCUUCGAGUCGUUCUUGCUCUUCGAGGGCGAGAAGAUCACCAUUAACAAGGACACCAAGGUACCCAAUGCCUGUUUAUUCACCAUCAACAAAGAAGACCACACACUGGGAAACAUCAUUAAAUCGUAAGUUUCCCGUCACAGGCUCUCAGGGGCUAUGUUUAAUGGGCCCCUCUGGGCAAAGCACAAGUUCCAAGUCUUCCUCAGUCUCUCUGAGCUACAGGAAGUCCUUCUGGGGGCUUGCUCUGGGCAUUUUAUAAUCUUGGUACCUUUUUAUCAAAAUGACACCGACCUCCAUGUCUUCACAUAAGCCACACUUCUGUAGUGGCUUAUUCUGUAGAUGAACACGUGCAUUUACAUUCACUGUUUGUUUGUUUGUUUGUUUUUGAGAUGGAAUUUUCUCUCUUUGUUGCCCAGGCUGGAGUGCAAUGGCACGAUCUUGCUCACUGCAACCUCCGCCUCCCGGGUUCAAGUGAUUCUCCUGCUUCAGCCUUCCUAGUAGCUGGGACUACAGGCCCACGCCACGAUGCCCGGCUAAUUUUUGUGUUUUUAGUAGAGACGGGGAUUCACUGUGUUGGCCAGGCUGGUCUCGAACUCCUGACCUCAGGUGAUCCACCUGCUGGCUUCCCAAAGUGCUGGGAUUAGAGACGUGAGCU